UUUGGUACUUCAGAAAUUACAUCAGAGACGCAGGACAGAAAUGCAAAUAACCAUGGGAUUCAAUUUUCUAAUUCACUGUCCAGUGCAAUGACUGCUGAAAAUGGAAAUUCCGUCUCAAAUGGAUUACCUGAAGAGGACGGAUUCUCCAGGCUGUCUGGGGGUGGGGCCUCCUCCUUUCAGAGACACAGAGAGAGUCACACCACUCAGGUUAUCCACCAGCUGAGGCUGUCGGAGAAUGAGAGCGUGGCCCUGCGGGAGCUCCUGGACUGGAGACGGAGACUCUGCGAGGAGCGGGGGGACUGGCCCCGGAUCCUGCCCCCCGGGGAGCCCCGGGCGCCUCCCCCACCUCCGUGCAGGAAGCCCGAGGGGGCCCCCUGCCGCAGGCUGCCCCCCGAGUUCUGGGACUCCACCCUGUGACGGCCAGCUGCAGAUUCGCGGGGUGGCCGCCCGAGGGUGCCAAGCUCACGGACAGAGGCUGCCCCGACACACAAAAGCACAGGCAGCCCGUACCUGAAAUUCCUGGGACCUUGUCAUUGUUUGAGCUUCGCCGUGGCAAGCUCUGUCGACUUACAGCUCGAGUCCGAUGUCUUCGAAUGUUUCAUUCAUUGAUCGGGAGACAGUUCCUUCCCUUGCCCUGUGUUCCAGGCACAUGGAUGGUGCCCCCGGGAGAGACCAUUCCUCCAGCCUCGGCCAGGCGGGGAUGCGGAAGCAUCGGAACGCAGAAAAUUAAAGGCGGAUUUGAGACAUGGGUAAGACGCACCAGGACCGAUGACAUCCAACAACCUCAGGGGGUGUCACCCAGCCCUACUCCUACUGCCUUCCGAACCUCAGCCCCUGACAACAGAGACCCCACUGUCCUUGACACACAGGCUUUCCCGGCCACACCUUCACACCGAAGGCACUCCGUGGCCCUGGUCGGAUGA
rnacentral:lncRNA from 1 species